CCUACGGGCGGCAGCAGUGAGGAAUAUUGGUCAAUGGGCGCGAGCCUGAACCAGCCAAGUAGCGUGAAGGAUGACUGCCCUACGGGUUGUAAACUUCUUUUAUAAAGGAAUAAAGCGAGGCACGUGUGCCUUUUUGUAUGUAUUUUAUGAAUAAGGAUCGGCUAACUCCGUGCCAGCAGCCGCGGUAAUACGGAGGGUGCAAGCGUUGUCCGGAAUCAUUGGGCGUAAAGAGUUCGUAGGCGGUAUGUUAAGUCUGGUGUUAAAUGCAGAAGCUCAACUUCUGUUCGGCACUGGAUACUGGCAAACUAGAAUGCGGUAGAGGUAAAGGGAAUUCCUGGUGUAGCGGUGAAAUGCUUAGAUAUCAGGAGGAACAUCGGUGGCGUAAGCGCUUUACUGGGCCGUAAUUGACGCUGAGGAACGAAAGCCAGGGUAGCAAAUGGGAUUAGAUACCCUAGUAGUC
rnacentral:rRNA from 1 species